rfam:Candidatus Hamiltonella defensa 5AT (Acyrthosiphon pisum), complete genome.
GCACCUGCCAAUUCAGGUGUCGAGAUUAGCCUCCCGCCGAAGUGACCGCGACUUUAUUGACACGCCGCGAGCGUGUUUUUU